UUUGUUGAGUGUAAGAGCCUUAGAGGAAGAGUGAGGUGCAAAAUGAGGGACAAGUUGUAGUGGGGAUUUUUUGUUUUGUUUUUUUAAUUUUUUUUUUUUCCAGGAAAAAGUUUGAAGAGAGCAGCAGAGUGAGAGGAGAGGGCUUGUAGAGGACAAGAAGGGAGGAGAGAGAUAGUGAGAGAGGGAGGGAGAGAGAGAGAGAGAGAGAGAGGGGAAGGGGAGAAAGACAAGAGAGACGCAGAGAGACAGACAGAUGGAGGAGAAGCAUGCAGCAGCAAAGAGGAGGAGAAACAAAGCGUGUUGACUGAGGAAGUGUGCAUGCCAUGCGGGCCAUGUGCUCAGACCCAGGAGCGCUGCACUCGAGGAAGGUGUCUGCAAAUCGGGCUGUUUUUCUUCUGCAACUUAGAGCUCCAACUGCUCUGCAAGACCAAAGAAUACAGCCUGAACUCUUCAUGAUGCACAUCGGUGAGGAGGCAGCAGAGACCGGCGACUGAGGGCUCCUGUCCUGCUGGUCUGUGAAUUCUGCACAGAUUUUUCCAGAAACACAAACAACCAUGUGUUUCCAAAGCCAUCCCCAGUGAA